rnacentral:rRNA from 1 species
GUGGGGAAUCUUGCGCAAUGGGCGAAAGCCUGACGCAGCCAUGCCGCGUGAAUGAUGAAGGUCUUAGGAUUGUAAAAUUCUUUCACCGGGGACGAUAAUGACGGUACCCGGAGAAGAAGCUCCGGCUAACUUCGUGCCAGCAGCCGCGGUAAUACGAAGGGGGCUAGCGUUGCUCGGAAUUGCUGGGCGUAAAGGGCGCGUAGGCGGACAGCUUAGUCAGAGGUGAAAGCCCAGGGCUCAACCUUGGAAUUGCCUUUGAUACUGGCUGUCUUGAGUUUGGGAGAGGUGAGUGGAACUCCGAGUGUAGAGGUGAAAUUCGUAGAUAUUCGGAAGAACACCAGUGGCGAAGGCGACUCACUGGCCCAAUACUGACGCUGAGGCGCGAAAGCGUGGGGAGCAAACAGGAUUAGAUACCCCGGUAGUCC